UGACUUCCUGAGUGUCUGCUUCCACCCCUAUAACCACAACCUGGAUUUUGUGUAUACCAUUCUCAUGAAUCAAUUUUGCUAUGCAUGUGUCCCUUAGAACCUGUGAGUGUAGUGAAUUUCAUAAAUAAUUUUAGAACAUUGCCAGUCAUGCAUCCCUGGGAUAAAACUAACUUGAUCAUAUUGUAUUUUAUAGGAGUCUCAUGUAUAUGUUCACUGAAUCAAGUUUAUCAUACUAUUCAAAUAUGGUUAAAAACAUGUGUUGACUUGAGCUACUAACUACUGAGAGAGGGAUGUCAAAAAUUUCCCAGUGUGUUGUGUCUUUGUCAAUUUAUCCUUGUUGGUCUGUCAAAUUUCACUUUAUAUAUUUUGAGACUAUAUUAUUAGGUAUAUUAAUGUUUAUAAUGAUUAUCUCUUUCUAGUAAAUUGAAGAUUUUACCAUUAUAUCUUGAUUAUUUUCAUCUUUAAAAAACAUAAAUAUUAAUGUAGCUAUACCAGCUUGGUUAUGGUUAUUUUACCUGGCAAAUAUCUUUUUCCAUUCUUUUAUUUUUUACCUUUUCAUGUCCUUUGACUUCAAUGUAGCUCUUGCAGGCAGAAUAUGUAUUGAUUUUUCCUUGUUUAAUUGAGGUAUAAUGAGUUUUAAAAUUUAAUGUGAUAAUUCUAUCUUGUAACUAGAACUUGGUAAUUUUAUGUUGUGAUUGUAGAUAUUUACAUAGAAUAAUUUCUCCAGUGAUAUUUAUAUUAUAAAGCACAUUUACCAUGUGCUUUAUAGUUACCUUGCUUUUACUAUUUUCAUUUUUUUAAGUUUAUAGUUUUUUUAAAGAAACUGAUUUGUUAUGAAAAAACAUUUAUCUAGAGUUGUUUUUCUAUCAAUUGCACUUUAGUAUUUUCUUCUAUCAGAUCCAAAUAACAUUAAAUGUUUUGAUAAAUACUUGUGUGUACAUAUAUGUAUCCACACUAUUUAUAUCUUUUUUUCUUACAAUGAACAUAUUUUACUUCUGUAUUCUAAAAAUUGUUUGGAGAUAGUUUAAUAUAUAGAUGAACAAAUAAAUAAUACUUACAUGGAAAUUAUGUUAUUGUUACAACCAGGUGGACUUACCAACAGCCAUACAGUGGAAGUGGUCUGAAGGCAUGGCAGAAUAUCCCCAACCUGCCUCGCCUAAAUAUUUUUACCUAUGAUGAGCAAAUAGCUGCCAAGCAAGAAUGGAUGCUGGCAAGACUGUCUGAGCUGAGCCUCUAUGGUAGGGUUGCCAGAUUUAGCAAAUAAAAUUAUCAUAUGGGAUAUACUUAAAAAUUUUGCAUUGUUUAUCCAAGUUAUAUAUAGUUAAAUAUAACUGGGUGUACUGCAUUUUAUUUGACCCUACCCUAUGGGUAAGACCCCAUUCAUUUCACUGGAGAGUGCCAGGAAGCAAGGUGGCUCUUCCUUGCAAGUCCCUGACCUCUCUUGCUGAAUGUGCCUGAGAAGGGUUAGAAAUGCGUGCUCUCCUUUUAGACACCCAGCUCAUCAUUCCUUUUUUGCAAGCACUUUCUCAGGGCCUCUUUCAGCAUUUAAUCUAGGGAAUGAGGGCACUGUUGCCAUGUGGUUUUCAAACUAAUAGAGCUGACAUCCUAGAACUCCCACCUGGUCCCUUGCCAACAUUGUCACACAACCCGCCCUGCCCCUUCAGUACAGCUCUGACUGGGAAAAGCAUGGGCUCUGACCCUAACUGGCUUUUGGCGUUGAGGUCUAGAACUAUCAUUUACCUGCUGUGUAACAUUAACCAAUUCACUGAGUUUCUCUGAAACUUCUAUGCCUCAUUUAUAAAAUGGGACUAUUAAAAGUAAUUCCUUUGAACCAGACCUUAUUCUAUAAGAAACCAUUCAAACUAAUGGGGGGAAAAAUGCAAACUUCAUAUUUGAACCAGAUCUUACCCUUUUAGAGCCAUAAAGAUUAAAGGACAAAAACUGUGUCUGCUCAAGCUACAAACUUCUUUUGCAGCAGAACUAGGGACUAAUAAGCCAGAUUACAACACUCGCAUGCAGUGGAAUGCUAUGCAGGCAUUAAAAAUGAGCAUGUUUCUUAAUCCUCGUGAUUAUAAGAGCUAGACUUUAUUUUAGUGAGAAAAGAAAGAUGGGAAACAGUAUGUAUAACAUGCUACCUUUUGUAUAAGAAAGGGAGAAUAUAAAAGUAUUUUUAAUUGCUUAUUUUACAUAAACAAUACACAAGAACUUAAUAAAAGGGAUUACCCCUGGUGUGAGGAUGGGAGUUGUUGCUAGCAAAAUGUAGUGGUUUAGGGCAGGUCUGGAAAUUAGAUUUUUCACUAUAUACCAUUUUGUAUCGUUUUGAUUUUAGAACCAUGUG
rnacentral:lncRNA from 10 species